GAUAACCCCGGGAAACUGGGUAUAAUACCCGAUAGGUCUCGAUUGCUGGAAUGCAUCGAGAUUUAAAGCUCCGGCGCCUAAGGAUGGGUCUGCGGCCUAUCAGGUAGUAGUGGGUGUAGCGUACCUACUAGCCUACGACGGGUACGGGUUGUGAGAGCAAGAGCCCGGAGAUGGAUUCUGAGACACGAAUCCAGGCCCUACGGGGUGCAGCAGGCGCGAAAACUUUACAAUGCUGGCAACAGCGAUAAGGGAACCUCGAGUGCCAGGUUACAAAUCUGGCUGUCGAGAUGCCUAAAAAGCAUUUCAUAGCAAGGGCCGGGCAAGACCGGUGCCAGCCGCCGCGGUAACACCGGCGGCUCGAGUGGUAACCGUUAUUAUUGGGUCUAAAGGGUCUGUAGCCGGCCGGAUAAGUCUCUUGAGAAAUCUGGCUGCUUAACUGUCAGGCUUUCAGGAGAUACUGUCUGGCUCGAGGCCGGGAGAGGUGAGAGGUACUUCAGGGGUAGGGGUGAAAUCUUGUAAUCCUUGAAGGACCACCAGUGGCGAAGGCGUCUCACCAGAACGGACCUGACGGCAAGGGACGAAAGCUAGGGGCACGAACCGGAUUAGAUACCCGGGUAGUCCUAGCCGUAAACGAUACUCGCUAGGUGUCGGCCACGGUGCGACCGUUGUCGGUGCCGUAGGGAAGCCGUGAAGCGAGCCACCUGGGAAGUACGGCCGCAAGGCUGAAACUUAAAGGAAUUUGGCGGGUGAGCACCACAACGGGUGGAGCUUGCGGUUUAAUUUGGAUUCAACGCCGGAAAAUCUUACCGGGACCGACAGCAUAUUGACGGCCAAGGCUUGAAGACUUUGCCGGAUUUAGCUUGAAAGGUGGUGCAU
rnacentral:rRNA from 1 species